rnacentral:rRNA from 1 species
CCCUUAGAUGUCCUGGGCCGCACGCGCGCUACACUGACAUGUUCAACAAGCCUCCUAGUUCGACAGGAUUUGGGAAAUCUUUGAACGCAUGUCGUGAUAGGGAUAGAUCAUUGCAAUUAUUGAUCUCGAACGAGGAAUUCCUAGUAAACGCGAGUCAUCAGCUCGCAUUGAUUACGUCCCUGCCCUUUGUACACACCGCCCGUCGCACCUACCGAUUGAAUGUUUCGGUGAAGAUUCCGGAUAGGACUUUUUUGAUUUAUUUCAAUUUUGUCUUAAAAGCUAUCUAAACCUCAACAUUUAGAGGAAGGUGAAGUCGUAACA